GGAUGCGAUCAUACCAGCACUAAAGCACCGGAUCCCAUUAGAACUCUGAAGUUAAGCGUGCUUGGGCGAGAGUAGUACUAGGAUGGGUGACCUCCUGGGAAGUCCUCGUGUUGCAAUCC
rnacentral:rRNA from 1 species